rnacentral:rRNA from 1 species
AACAGGAUUAGAUACCCUGGUAGUCCACGCUGUAAACGAUGUCGAUUUGGAGGUUGUGCCCUUGAGGCGUGGCUUCCGGAGCUAACGCGUUAAAUCGACCGCCUGGGGAGUACGGCCGCAAGGUUAAAACUCAAAUGAAUUGACGGGGGCCCGCACAAGCGGUGGAGCAUGUGGUUUAAUUCGAUGCAACGCGAAGAACCUUACCUACUCUUGACAUCCAGAGAACUUUCCAGAGAUGGAUCGGUGCCUUCGGGAACUCUGAGACAGGUGCUGCAUGGCUGUCGUCAGCUCGUGUUGUGAAAUGUUGGGUUAAGUCCCGCAACGAGCGCAACCCUUAUCCUUUGUUGCCAGCGGUUCGGCCGGGAACUCAAAGGAGACUGCCAGUGAUAAACUGGAGGAAGGUGGGGAUGACGUCAAGUCAUCAUGGCCCUUACGAGUAGGGCUACACACGUGCUACAAUGGCGUAUACAAAGAGAAGCGACCUCGCGAGAGCAAGCGGACCUCAUAAAGUACGUCGUAGUCCGGAUUGGAGUCUGCAACUCGACUCCAUGAAGUCGGAAUCGCUAGUAAUCGUAGAUCAGAAUGCUACGGUGAAUACGUUCCCGGGCCUUGUACACACCGCCCGUCACACCGUGGGAGUGGGUUGCAAAAGAAGUAGGUAGCUUAACCUUCGGGAGGGCGCUUACCACUUUGUGAUUCAUGACUGGGGUGAAGUCGUAACAAGGUAACCGUAGGGGAACCUGCGGCUGGAUCACCUCCUU